rnacentral:rRNA from 1 species
UACGAAGGGGACUAGCGUUGUUCGGAAUUACUGGGCGUAAAGGGCGCGUAGGCGGCCACCGCAAGUCGACUGUGAAAUCUCCGGGCUUAACCCGGAAAGGUCAGCCGAUACUGCGGGGCUAGAGUGCAGAAGGGGCAACUGGAAUUCUCGGUGUAGCGGUGAAAUGCGUAGAUAUCGAGAGGAACACCUGCGGCGAAGGCGGGUUGCUGGGCUGACACUGACGCUGAUGCGCGAAAGCUAGGGGAGCGAACGGG